rnacentral:tRNA from 1 species
UAGUUCAGUGGUAGAAUUCUUGCCUUCCAUGCAGGAGACUCAAGUUUGAUUCCUGG